rnacentral:rRNA from 1 species
UACGUAGGGUGCGAGCGUUAAUCGGAAUUACUGGGCGUAAAGCGUGCGCAGGCGGUUUCGUACGAAGACGAUGUGAAAUCCCCGGGCUUAACCUGGGAACUGCAUUGUGACUGGCGAGCUAGAGUAUGGCAGAGGGGGGUAGAAUUCCACGUGUAGCAGUGAAAUGCGUAGAGAUGUGGAGGAAUACCGAUGGCGAAGGCAGCCCCCUGGGCCAAUACUGACGCUCAUGCACGAAAGCGUGGGGAGCAAACAGG